UCUCGCGGCGUGUCUGCUCUCCUGGCCUGGCCUCUCCAGACCUUUCCCUCCACGGGCAGCGAUUUCCAAGGCUUUCAAGACUCCAAACCACGUUGUUUGGGGAGUGAAAAAGUGAAAGCACACAUCGUGUCAUUAGAGCAGCGGGGACCAGCUGCUGGGUCAACACUUCCGAAAACAGCGCUUCCUGGGGAGCGAGCGGAGCAUCUCAGAAUCUACGAACGUGCUUCAGAGUUGCACUUAGCCUAGAACAUGGCCUGACCUCUAUGGUAUGAAUAAGUGAGCUCCAUGAAGACAAUAAGAUCUCCUGAAAUUAUACAGACAGCAAAGCAUGUCGCUGUGCUUCCUUGUCUUCCAGUGAUGACCCAUGUGAUAUCUUACACAAAUGGACAAUCAAUGGAGGACCUGUGAGUAUUGUUUUCCUGAGCUUCUCCUCUGUCUCCUCUUGUGGCUGCACUUGACUGAGCAUUUCAUGAAAGAAUACAGAAGGCACUGCUCAAACUACUCUUGGUUAGUCCUAAGCAACACAACCUUAGCCACUGUGGAGCUAGUGCCAGCUGUGUGAAGCUGUACAGUGGUGCAGUGUAUCACAGGGCAAAGAGCACUGUGGAGCCAAGGCAGACAAAACUGCGCAGAGCUCCCAGGCCUGGGUGAUGAUCCCU
rnacentral:lncRNA from 1 species